ensembl:snRNA U6 U6 spliceosomal RNA
GUGCUGAUUUCAACAGCAUAUAUACUAAAGUUGAAAUGAUACAGAGAAUAUUAGCCUGGCCCCUAUGCAAGGAUGGCAUGCAAAUUCAUGAAGCAUUCCAUAUUUUU